GCCAUAAAAUAAGGCACAACUCAGUGGAGACGAGACUAAACGCUCUCUGACAAUCCCCUCUGAGGCCUUCACAGGACAGCGAGUGCAUCCUGACAUCAAGGUCUGAGGCUUUUUUAAAUAAGGCCCUAGCAACGGCGCAGAAAAGCCCCUACUGAGGACGGAGACGACGGGUUCAAAGGGUCCAAGGGAAGCCGAGGACUGCAGCAGGACACCAGUUGGAAGAGACAGACAGCUGUGGAUCCAGCUGUACGGAAUGUCUUCAUUUUUCCCUCUUUAAAGUAUUUACAGAGCGAGGGGCCCUGAGGAAGACAGGCUGUAGCUGUCCUGAGUGGGAAGUGAACGUGGCAAUCAGUCAGCGCCUUCAGAUGGAACGCCAUGGCCUUUCACUUUCACAUCACGUAAAACGUCGUCCUGCUAGUGACCAGUGCUGCUGGCUAUUUUCAACGUUCACACUUGGACCA